rnacentral:rRNA from 1 species
CCUACGGGAGGCAGCAGUGGGGAAUAUUGCACAAUGGGGGAAACCCUGAUGCAGCGACGCCGCGUGAGGGAAGAAGGAUUUCGGGAUGUAAAGCUCUAUUAGCAGGGAAGAAAAGGACGGUACCUGACUAAGAAGCCCCGGCUAACUACGAGCCAGCAGCCGCGGUAAUACGUAGGGGGCAAGCGUAAUCCGGAGUUACUGGGUGUAAAGGGAGUGUAGACGGCAGAGCAAGUCUGAAGUGAAAGCCCGCGGCCCAACUGCGGGACUGCUUUUGAAACUGCCCGGCUAGAGUGCUGGAGAGGUAAGCGGAAUUCCUGGUGUAGCGGUGAAAUGCGUAGAUAUUAGGAGGAACACCAGUGGCGAAGGCAGCUUACUGGACAGUAACUGACGUUGAGGCUCGAAAGCGUGGGGAGCAAACAGGAUUAGAUACCCGUGUAGUC